GAAUGGAAUUAUGGAACGAAUUAAUGACAGGUAGUGUAGGUCUUUCUUAUGUAUAGUUUUGUAUUAUUUUUUGAGCUCCAUUAAUAUUGUUGAUAACAAUAAUUUCUUUUUGUUAUUAGUUUUUCAAGGUCUAAAACUGAUUAUCUGUUUUUAGAUAAUUCCAAAGAUCUUCUGAAGAAGUGUAAUAAUCAACUAGAAUAUACUCAGUCUUCCAGUUCUAGUAGCAGUAAAAAGACCCAAUCAUCUCAACGACGAAGUGAUUUUAAUCGCACUGAUGGAAGUGACAUAAUAAUAAAUGAUGAUUUGCCUAUUAUUAACGACAUUCCUUUAGGAGCAACCGUAUUAAACAU